GUUAGCGGCGGACGGGUGAGUAACACGUGGGUAACCUGCCUGUAAGACUGGGAUAACUCCGGGAAACCGGAGCUAAUACCGGAUAGUUCCUUGAACCGCAUGGUUCAAGGAUGAAAGACGGUUUCGGCUGUCACUUACAGAUGGACCCGCGGCGCAUUAGCUAGUUGGUGGGGUAAUGGCUCACCAAGGCGACGAUGCGUAGCCGACCUGAGAGGGUGAUCGGCCACACUGGGACUGAGACACGGCCCAGACUCCUACGGGAGGCAGCAGUAGGGAAUCUUCCGCAAUGGACGAAAGUCUGACGGAGCAACGCCGCGUGAGUGAUGAAGGUUUUCGGAUCGUAAAGCUCUGUUGUUAGGGAAGAACAAGUGCGAGAGUAACUGCUCGCACCUUGACGGUACCUAACCAGAAAGCCACGGCUAACUACGUGCCAGCAGCCGCGGUAAUACGUAGGUGGCAAGCGUUGUCCGGAAUUAUUGGGCGUAAAGGGCUCGCAGGCGGUUUCUUAAGUCUGAUGUGAAAGCCCCCGGCUCAACCGGGGAGGGUCAUUGGAAACUGGGAAACUUGAGUGCAGAAGAGGAGAGUGGAAUUCCACGUGUAGCGGUGAAAUGCGUAGAGAUGUGGAGGAACACCAGUGGCGAAGGCGACUCUCUGGUCUGUAACUGACGCUGAGGAGCGAAAGCGUGGGGAGCGAACAGGAUUAGAUACCCUGGUAGUCCA
rnacentral:rRNA from 1 species